rnacentral:rRNA from 1 species
AUUGAACGCUGGCGGCAGGCCUAACACAUGCAAGUCGAACGGUAACAGGAAGCAGCUUGCUGCUUCGCUGACGAGUGGCGGACGGGUGAGUAAUGUCUGGGAAGCUGCCUGAUGGAGGGGGAUAACUACUGGAAACGGUAGCUAAUACCGCAUAAUGUCGCAAGACCAAAGAGGGGGACCUUGGGGCCCCUUGCCACCGGAUGGGCCCAGAUGGGAUUAGCUUGUUGGUGGGGUAACGGCUCACCAAGGCGACGAUCCCUAGCUGGUCUGAGAGGAUGACCAGCCGCACUGGAACUGAGACACGGUCCAGACUCCUACGGGAGGCAGCAGUGGGGAAUAUUGCACAAUGGGCGCAAGCCUGAUGCAGCCAUGCCGCGUGUAUGAAGAAGGCCUUCGGGUUGUAAAGUACUUUCAGCGGGGAGGAAGGGAGUAAAGUUAAUACCUUUGCUCAUUGACGUUACCCGCAGAAGAAGCACCGGCUAACUCCGUG